rnacentral:rRNA from 1 species
UACGUAGGGUGCGAGCGUUAAUCGGAAUUACUGGGCGUAAAGCGUGCGCAGGCGGUUCGUUGUGUCGGCGGGGAAAUCCCCGGGCUCAACCUGGGAAUGGCAUUUGGGACUGCAAGGCUGGAGUGCGGCAGAGGAGACUGGAAUUCCUGGUGUAGCAGUGAAAUGCGUAGAUAUCAGGAGGAACACCGAUGGCGAAGGCAGGUCUCUGGGCUGACACUGACGCUCAUGCACGAAAGCGUGGGGAGCAAACAGG